rnacentral:rRNA from 1 species
AGUGAACGCUGGCGAUAGGCCUAACACAUGCAAGUCGAACGGCAGCACAGUAAGAGCUUGCUCUUACGGGUGGCGAGUGGCGGACGGGUGAGGAAUACAUCGGAAUCUACUUUUUCGUGGGGGAUAACGUAGGGAAACUUACGCUAAUACCGCAUACGACCUACGGGUGAAAGCAGGGGAUCUUCGGACCUUGCGCGAUUGAAUGAGCCGAUGUCGGAUUAGCUAGUUGGCGGGGUAAAGGCCCACCAAGGCGACGAUCCGUAGCUGGUCUGAGAGGAUGAUCAGCCACACUGGAACUGAGACACGGUCCAGACUCCUACGGGAGGCAGCAGUGGGGAAUAUUGGACAAUGGGCGCAAGCCUGAUCCAGCCAUACCGCGUGGGUGAAGAAGGCCUUCGGGUUGUAAAGCCCUUUUGUUGGGAAAGAAAAGCAGCAGGUUAAGACCCCGCUGUUCUGACGGUACCCAAAGAAUAAGCACCGGCGAACUUCGU